AGAAUGAGAAAAUGUAUCCAUCAGAUUGGCCUGCAGGCAAGUCUGUGGGCAUUUUCUUGAUAAAUGAUUGAUGUGGAAAGAUCCAGCCUACUAUGGGCAGUGCCAUCUCUGGGUGACAAGCUGGAGUCUCAUGACAGCCAGGCUUUGAACAGAUCCUGGAAGCCUUCCGGAAACUACCUUCCAGCUACAAGGAAUACCAUGACCUUGGCUGCAAGGGUUCUGACUUCUGCUUCAGGAGGCCCUGCAGUCAUGAAGACUAUGGGCUACCUUUAGACCUUCGCUGCCUCUAGAAGACCUCACUACUACCAAGACAAAGCUUGGUGAACCUGCUAGCCCCACAGCUACUGUCACUCAGGUGGAGGAGGAUAUCUCCAACCAGCAACCAGCAAAAGCAUCCGCAAGAGGCAGCAGGAGGCAGCAG